GAUGAACGCUGGCGGCGUGCCUAAUACAUGCAAGUCGAGCGAACAGAUGAGGAGCUUGCUCCUCUGACGUUAGCGGCGGACGGGUGAGUAACACGUGGAUAACCUACCUAUAAGACUGGGAUAACUUCGGGAAACCGGAGCUAAUACCGGAUAAUAUAUUGAACCGCAUGGUUCAAUAGUGAAAGACGGCUUUGCUGUCACUUAUAGAUGGAUCCGCGCCGCAUUAGCUAGUUGGUAAGGUAACGGCUUACCAAGGCGACGAUGCGUAGCCGACCUGAGAGGGUGAUCGGCCACACUGGAACUGAGACACGGUCCAGACUCCUACGGUAGGCAGCAGUAGGGAAUCUUCCGCAAUGGGCGAAAGCCUGACGGAGCAACGCCGCGUGAGUGAUGAAGGUCUUCGGAUCGGAAAACUCUGUUAUUAGGGAAGAACAAAUUUGUAAGUAACUAUGCACGUCUUGACGGUACCGAAUCAGAAAGCCACGGCUAACUACGUG
rnacentral:rRNA from 1 species